rnacentral:tRNA from 1 species
GGGAAUGUAGCUCAGUGGUACAGCGCUUGCUUUGCACACAUGAGGCCCUGGGUUCGAUUCCUCAGCACCA